CUGCGAUUCAAGUUUGAUUCAGGGACAGGCAAGGACGUAGCUGCCUGUGGGAUAAAACAAGGAACAGUCUUGCCCGGUGGCAGGAAAGAUAAUCCGGGCAAUUCGUAGCCGCUAGUCGGUACGCUCCGACUCGCGCCAGGCAAGGAACAAUCCAGGUGAGUGCGCACCUUAAUCAGGCCACUCAAUCCGUCUUCAACAAUCAGUUCGAUCGGGCGACGGCGCAAACGCCGGCACGGCUGCUUUAUCCAGAGCAGUCCGAUGCUGGCAUUACGGGGAAAGGUGUUUGAUCUAUCAGCUACAGACGGUUCUGUAUUGGAUAACCGUGGCUAUUACGGAUAACGGGGAAUGAGGGUUUGAUUCCGGAGAGAGCGCAUGAGAGUUUGCGCUUACAGCUAAGGUUGGCAGCAGGAGCGAAAACUUUUCUAAUGAGUAAAGCUUGAAAAGGUGACAAACUGUAUUGACAUCAGCUUUGCGUUGAUGAUUGAAAUGAAGUAUUUUUAAUAAGAAUACUGAGUAGCUAGUUCAGGGCAAGUC
rnacentral:rRNA from 1 species